AGUGAACGCUGGCGGUAGGCCUAACACAUGCAAGUCGAACGGCAGCACAGUAAGAGCUUGCUCCUACGGGUGGCGAGUGGCGGACGGGUGAGGAAUACAUCGGAAUCUACUUUUUCGUGGGGGAUAACGUAGGGAAACUUACGCUAAUACCGCAUACGACCUACGGGUGAAAGCAGGGGAUCUUCGGACCUUGCGCGAUUGAAUGAGCCGAUGUCGGAAUAGCUAGUUGGCGGGGUAAAGGCCCACCAAGGCGACGAUCCGUAGCUGGUCUGAGAGGAUGAUCAGCCACACUGGAACUGAGACACGGUCCAGACUCCUACGGGAGGCAGCAGUGGGGAAUAUUGGACAAUGGGCGCAAGCCUGAUCCAGCCAUACCGCGUGGGUGAAGAAGGCCUUCGGGUUGUAAAGCCCUUUUGUUGGGAAAGAAAAGCAGCAGGUUAAUACCCCGCUGUUCUGACGGUACCCAAAGAAUAAGCACCGGCUAACUUCGUG
rnacentral:rRNA from 1 species